GCACUCGUUACUAUGAUUUGCAUGAAACUUAUGCCAAGAAUUUACUUAACGUGAUUGUGACUAGCAACCUUUACUACUUGUGAAUAUAAGUUCAUAACGAUUAGGUGAAAUUCACUUAUAUUCUAGCAUCAAAUUCAUGCAUGUAAAUUAAGUAUGCAUCCUUAAUCGACAUACAAAAAUAAGUUAUAAAUCAAGCAGUUAAGCAAAUUAAAUCACAACUCAGAAAUCACAACUGAAGGUAAUCAAUUCAUAUUACAAAUAUAUUCAUGGCUUGAAUUAACCUCUAGCCAAAAUAAAUUUAGUUACACAUUAUUAUCAAAUUAAACCAGAAAUUAAACAUAAGUUGGAAAGUUUUAACCGAAAGAGUAGAAGCUUGCUGUUUCUGUUUCUGUCCGUGCUCUCACGCUGGUUCUGCCCUCAGUAGGGCAGCUUUCCUUUCCUGCCCACCGCCUCUGCACGUCACCUUGUUUCACGCUGCCAAGAGCAGCAAGAGCUCUCGGUUCUCUCCCUCUGACUUCUGUCCGCACAGUUUUCUGUGCUGCCCGUGCCUUCUCGGUUUUCUGCUGCCGCAAGGCAGCUGUCUCUUCGUCCAGCCUUCUCUCCCCGCGUCAAUCUCUCCCCACGCUGCCCACUUUGACUAACCUCUGGCUGCGCCAGUCUCUUGCUGCCAAAGGCAGCACCUAAUCUCUCCCUUUCGUUACUGACUUGCUGACCAGUCCUUGCUCAAGCUGCCAAAUGGCAGCCCCUAUUCUUUCCUUCUGUGGACUGUCAGUCUCGCUGCCAAAGGCAGCUCUCUACCUUCCACCAAUCCCCC
rnacentral:lncRNA from 1 species